CUGUCCGGAGUACAUCACCAUGUCUUCCAGGCUCCUCUGGACCGUGACCGUUUCUCAAACUUUCCUUGUUUUUGAUAACCUUAAUAGUUUUGAAGCGACUUAUUGGUCAUUUGGUCAAAUGUCCUUCAAUUGGGUUUUGCCUGUAUUUUUCUCAUGCAUUAACUGAGGUUAUGGGUUUUUCUUGAGUUAAGAGGCUCCAUACCUACCUAACAUCUAUCUUCUCAAGAACUCUGCCAGGGAAGGAGUAGUUUCUGUGUUUCAUAAACAGACUGAGACUCAAAGAGGCUAAGUAAACUACCUGAAGCCAUAUAUAGCAACACACAAUGACGGAUGUGAGAUUCAAACUUGGAUUUAUCUGGCUCCAAAAUUUCUAGUUUUUUUUUUUUUUUUUUUCCCACUACAGCAAAACUAAGGAGAAGAGACAGAGAAAACACUAGAUCUGAAUAACAAAGGAUGCAUACUUAAGCAAACUAAGGCAUAUAUAGUUAUCACUAAAUGCUCAACCUGGAAAGAAUACUGGAUUGCAGUCUGCUUUUUCUGUAAAGACAAUAGUAUUAUAAAACCGAAAGAGACAACAGGGAAUAUUUCCCACUCAACUAAGCAUAUCUAAAAGCACAUUUGAAGUUUGGAGACAAUAUUCUGUGUUAUUUUAAGAAAAGAUUCUAUAGCAUUAUUACCUGGUGGUAAGAAAAUAACAUGUAAAAGAAAAGGUAAUAAGAAUAAAAAAAAUAAGUAAAAGUAUGUGAACAUGCUAGACCUGGUUAUACAACUCAACUGUUGAGAAUGCAUUUUUGAAGUUGCCUGCAUGGUUGCUGCAAGCGUUCUUCAGUAUUUAGUAUAUGAAGACAGGCAUAUGCUCUGGCCAUUUCCAGAAAAGCCAAGGCUAUCCUGUAUAUUCUAGCCAUCUGUUGUUAGGUGAAAUGCGUGAAUGGCAUAGAGAAAUGUUAUGGAGAGUGAAUGUUACAUGCCUCUGAGAUACAAUAGAAAAGAAGCCCUUGAUUUAAUAUUUUGGUUCUUAGUUUGACUGUGAUUUAUAGGGAGUGAUAUUGCCCUGGGCCUUUCUGUCUCCUUUGUAUCAGGAAAUGAUUUGGUUUAGAGAAAAGCAGGCAAAGGUUUUAGUGGGACUCCCACCAGGAUAAUGGCCUUCUUUGUUCCUAGCUACUUCUUGAGGUGACUAUGGCUAUCCUUUAGGCCCCAAGCAUGUGGACAGAGUCGAGAACAGGGUUAAGGAGAAGAUUUAAGCAAAAUCUCUUUAGUCACUGAGCAAGAAGCACCUAUAAGUUGCAUUUUGUAAACUCAGAGGAUUUGGUCUGUGGUGAUCUAGCUACAUAAGAACUGGAAAUGCCUAGGUUUAAAAUCGGGGUAUAAAGCAACCCAGAGCUUGUUAGAUAUGCAAGAUCUCUGGCCCUAUCCCCAAACUACUGUCCCAGAAUAUGUAUUUUAACAAGGUUGCUAGUGACUCAUAUGCUCAAUAAUGUUUGAAAAGCCCUGCCCCAGACUCUUGAAUAGGAUUGGCCAGGAGGUGGGAAAAGGGAUGGUAGCAGUGGUGCUUGCAAUGUACAUAGCCCCAGAUAUAUAGAAUCAGAAUCUGUAAGAGUGGAGACUUAGGAAUCUAUGUUUUAACAAGCUCCUCAGGGAAUUUUUAUAAACACUGCAAUUUGAAGAUCACAGGUAAGAAAUAAAAACAGUUCAGGGGAGAAGUGCAAUAUACACUAUGAACACCAGCUGUCAGUACUCUACAAUUUAAAAAUGACCUUGAUGGUUAAUAGUGAAAAGAAUUAUUACAAGAACAUUUUCUAAAUUUGAAAUGUAAAGAUCUAGGGAACAUGAGCUCUAAGUUAAACAGAUUUGAAUUAUCCUGUGAUUUUAUCAAAGAUCUCUAGACAUAUAAAUAGUUUACAGAGAGUAGUGGUUGGAGAUUUAGAGAUUUUGGGUACAUGUGAGUAAGUCCAUGUCAGAAUAAUGUCUUACUAUACUUGGGAAAAUAAAGUGAAUGCUUUUGUGGUUUUAAAACCAAACUGGACUCUACAGUUUGAAAGUAUGUAAGGCAGGUCAAUGACUCUUUCUAAGAAUAUCUUUUCAUUUUCUUGGCAUUAUGUCCUGAUGUUACUGGGUUUUUCAGGUACUUAAUUUUCAUGUGUAGCUCAGGGAUUAAAAGUCUUGUGCAGUAUUCAAAGGAACUUUUUCUGUAUUUGUAGACACUGCACCAUACUGGGAGACUUGGAUUCGAAUUCUGUCUUUUCCUUAUAGCCUCGUGCAGAUUACAAUGACAAUUCCUUAACAUCUCUGAGUCUUUUAGUGUGCAUAAAAAUACCCACAUAAGGGUUGUCAAGAGGAGGAUCCAGAUAAUAUAAUAAAUAUGAAAUGCUCUACCAAUUAUGAAGCAUUAAAUAAAUGCAAGGUAGUACUUGAAUGCUUAUGGCAUUGGGCUUUCACUUUUAUAUUUGAUCUUUGGAACCCCACUAUAGCACCCAUUUCCAUAAAAAUGACUCAGGUUUCACUAGGAGCCUAGUUACUUUUCCUAGUUAGGUAUUUUUUUUUUCCCCACCCCAAAUAGCGUUGCCUGAUAAAAUACUGGACAGCCAGGUAAGUUUGAUAUAAAGUUUGAUUUCAUGUAAACAAUGAUUUCUU
rnacentral:lncRNA from 1 species